GGUCAUUGAGGUGAGGCCAGGGUGCUGGUCGACCUUUGCUCUGUGGCCUAGGAAGAAGGUUUGAGAGUCUCAAGCCUUGCAGGCAGAUCAAGUGGUAAACGAACAGGUACCAGCCAACAAAGGGACAUGGAAACUAGCAGGUGUUCCACAUGUAUGCAGGUGCCUGAGGCGGUCAGAACAAGUCUCUGGAGCUGGAGUUACAGGCAGUUGUGAGCCACUUGGAAACUGAAACCGGGUCCUCUGGAAGAGCAUCGUGAGCUCUUAGCCUCUGAGUCAUCUCUCCAGCCCCACAAGCAUCGAACGUUAAUUUAACCAAGCAUGGCUCAUCAAAAAUGUAUUAGAAGUAGAGACAGGGAAGUCUCCAGCAGGAGGUGUGGCCCAGAUCAAAGGUGUGUACCAUCACACCUGGAUCUGGGACUUGCUUUGUCCCAGGCUGACCUUGAACUCAGAGAUCUCCUUGCCUUAGUCUCCUGGGAUUACAGGCAUGUACUACCUUGCCUGGGCCUAAGCUUUUCCUGGCCACUAUGCCUCAAGAUCUCCAUGUCAAGAUCCAGGUCAGAAACUUGUGUCUUCCAGCCUCAAGAUCUGGAUCACAGGUGAGCCCUCCAAUUGUGGAUUGUAGUUCAUCCCAGAUAGAGUUAGGUUGACAACCAGGAAGAGCCACCACACGCCUU
rnacentral:lncRNA from 1 species